rnacentral:lncRNA from 1 species
UUGAAAAGAUCGUGAAAAUAGGUUUGCAAUCUCUCGUUGAUGUUCUUCUCCUUCAUUAAAAUACAUCUAUCCCUACCUUUAUAAACUUCACAACUUUUAGAUCAUGUCUUUUUGUUUCCCUAGCUUUGACAAUUUUGAUCAUAUUAUCAUGCUCCCUAAGUCUCCAUACUCCAUUACAUCUCCUCAUAGGUUAUCUACUUUGCUUUAGAUGAUGCCUUCUUUGCCUCCCAUUUGCCAACUUCUCUCAUUCAAUCCCACUCGUUCCUCCUCAUCAGGGCUUAACUCUAGACAAGCUGUGGAAACUACCAAGUUGGAGUACGGUAGGGGCAAAGGGAAUUUCCGGUGGAGCCGUGAAAUGCGUAGAGAUCGGAAAGAACACCAACCGCGAAAGCACUCUGCUGGGCCACACUGACACUGAGGGACGAAAGCUAGAGGAGUGAAUGGGAUUAGAUGCCCUAGUAGUCCUAGCCGUAAACGAUGGUACUAGGCGUUGUGCGUAUCGACCCGUACAGUGUUGUAGCUAACGUGUUAAGUAUCCCGCCU